rnacentral:lncRNA from 7 species
AAGGGGCCCUCCUCUGCCCAACACACAUUAGGUUGGUACUCUCACUCAAUCUCUACUUCGCUUCAUCAUCAUAUAUGACACUGAUACUCACUCGGUCCUUAAGAUAGCAGUGCCCGCUUGACCCUUAUGAUUUCGCUUGAUGCACUGUCUCUUUCGUGAUUAGCAUUUCGCAUCUCACAUGAUUUGCCAGCUUUCCUCUUUCUCAACUUGUAUAUUCUUCUCGCUUGCAGCUAGCCUUUAUACAUAUAUACAUAUUAAUUAAUGUUACACAGGUUAGCCAGUUGAUCUGAUGUUUCUAUAACUGUAUGUGCUCACUAUACGAUUUAGCCUCUUCUUUCACAUUUAAGUAACAUGCUUGUGAUAAUUAGAUCGCUUCCUUGGAAGCAUAUUUUUCACCACCAAUUGAGCAUGAAUCAGCCUCCUAUACUCUGUAUACUUGCAACCAGGAACUUGUCUUGUGGUCUCAUAGGAUCCUAAACUCUCAUAUUGUACCAUUUAUUGAGAUGGCAAACUUGCCCUACUAAAAAACUUUGUACUGCACCUCGAUACUCAACUUAGCUUCUGAUUUCAUGUGAAAGCACUGUAGUAUGUUGAUUAUAUAAUCUGGUAUUUCAAAUCUUUUAAGUUUUGCAUGUUAUUGACCAAUAUGUCCUUACAUAGAUGCUGUUGGAAUGAUGAAGAAGUGAUCCUGUAGCUUUCUCUAUGUCUCUGCUUCC